rnacentral:rRNA from 1 species
GAUGAACGCUGGCGGCGUGCUUAACACAUGCAAGUCGAGCGAGAAGUUUUGAAAAGCUUCUUCGGAUGAAAUUUAAAAUGGAAAGCGGCGGACGGGUGAGUAACGCGUAGGCAACCUGCCCCAUACAAAGGGAUAGCAUUUGGAAACGAAUAUUAAUACCUUAUGAAACUUAACUAGUGCAUGCUAGGUAGGUCAAAGAUUUAUCGGUAUGGGAUGGGCCUGCGUCUGAUUAGCUAGUUGGUGAGGUAACGGCUCACCAAGGCGACGAUCAGUAGCCGACCUGAGGGGGUGAACGGCAAAAUUGGAACUGAGGCACCGUCCAAACACCUUCGGGAGGCAGCAGUGGGGAAUAGUGCACAAGGGGGGAAACCCUGAUGGAGCAACGGCGCGUGAACGAUGAAGGCCUUUGGGGCGUAAAGUUCUGUUCUAGGUGAUGAAAACUGACAGUAACCUAGGAGAAAGCCCCGGCUAACUCCGUG